CCCGUCUAUGCUAGAAGUCUGACGGAGCACGCCGCGUGAGUAGAUGAAGGCUUUCGGGUCGUAAACUCUGUUGUUAGGGAAGAACAAGUGCUAGUUGAAUAAGCUGGCACCUUGACGGUACCUAACCAGAAAGCCACGGCUAACUACGUGCCAGCAGCCGCGGUAAU
rnacentral:rRNA from 1 species